rnacentral:rRNA from 1 species
UCGGGAAUUUUGGGCAAUGGGCGAAAGCCUGAUCCAGCCAUGCCGCGUGAGUGACGAAGGCCUUAGGGUUGUAAAACUCUUUCGUCGGGGACGAUAAUGACGGUACCCGAAGAAGAAGCUCCGGCUAACUUCGUGCCAGCAGCCGCGGUAAUACGAAGGGAGCUAGCGUUGUUCGGAAUUACUGGGCGUAAAGCGUACGUAGGCGGUUAUUCAAGUCAGAGGUGAAAGCCCGGGGCUCAACCCCGGAACUGCCUUUGAAACUAGAUAGCUAGAAUCUUGGAGAGGUCAGUGGAAUUCCGAGUGUAGAGGUGAAAUUCGUAGAUAUUCGGAAGAACACCAGUGGCGAAGGCGACUCACUGGACAAGUAUUGACGCUGAGGUACGAAAGCGUGGGGAGCAAACAGGAUUAGAUACCCGUGUAGUCCCUGAGCGGGCUGGCAAGGCGCAU